AUAUUCCAGUACUAGCGUAACCCAGCGAUGCGGUGACGGAGUAGUGAAAGGCCCGCCUGGUGACGGAAUACCAGGUUAAAGCACGUAGGUAUAGGGACGGUAGUCAAGUACGCCGACCCUGCUGAAAUGCGAUAGUACCCCAAGCCCCCGGGCGAGGGGAUAGCGGCCCUAAUCAGACUUCCAAGAAAACCCGCUAAGCGUUCAAGGUUACGCUACCCGUACCGCAAUCCGACACAGGUAGUCGAGGAGAGAAUCCUAAGGUGCUCGAGUGAAUCACGGCCAAGGAACUCG
rnacentral:rRNA from 1 species